rnacentral:rRNA from 1 species
AGAAUCAACGCUGGCGGCGUGCCUAACACAUGCAAGUCGCACGAGAAAGUGGAGCAAUCCACGAGUACAGUGGCGCACGGGUGAGUAACACGUGACUUAUCUACCUCCGAGUGGGGAAUAACUGAGAGAAAUCUUAGCUAAUACCGCAUAACACUUACGAGUCAAAGCAGCAAUGCGCUUGGAGAGGAGUUCGCGGCCGAUUAGUUAGUUGGCGGGGUAAUGGCCCACCAAGACGAUGAUCGGUA